rnacentral:rRNA from 1 species
UCCGUAGGCGGGCUAAUAAGUCAGGGGUGAAAUCCCACAGCUUAACUGUGGAACUGCCUUUGAUACUGUUAGUCUUGAGUUAUAUGGAAGUAGAUAGAAUGUGUAGUGUAGCGGUGAAAUGCAUAGAUAUUACACAGAAUACCGAUUGCGAAGGCAGUCUACUACGUAUAUACUGACGCUAAUGGACAAAAGCGUGGGGAGCGAACAGGAUUAGAUACCCUGGUAGUCC